CCUACGGGAGGCAGCAGUAGGGAAUUUUGCGCAAUGGGCGAAAGCCUGACGCAGCAACGCCGCGUGAUUGAUUAAGUCCUUCGGGGUGUAAAGAUCUGUCCGUGGGGACGAAACUUGACGGUACCCACAGAGGAAGCACCGGCUAACUCCGUGCCAGCAGCCGCGGUACUACGGCGGGUGCAAGAGUUGUCCGGAAUCAUUGGGCGUAAUGAGUUCGUAGGUGGCAUAUUAAGUCUGGUGUUAAAUGCAGAAGCUCACAGUCUGUUCGGCACUGGAUCUUGGUAAGCUGGAAUGCGGUAGAGGUAAAGGGAAUUCCGGGUGUAGCGGUGAAAUGCGUAGAUAUCAGGAGGAACAUCGGUGGCGUAAGCGCUUUACUGGGCCGUAAUUGACGCUGAGGAACGAAAGCCGGGGUAGCAAAUGGGAUUAGAUACCCGAGUAGUC
rnacentral:rRNA from 1 species